rnacentral:rRNA from 1 species
AAAUUGAAGAGUUUGAUCAUGGCUCAGAUUGAACGCUGGCGGCAGGCCUAACACAUGCAAGUCGAGCGGUAGCACAGAGAGCUUGCUCUCGGGUGACGAGCGGCGGACGGGUGAGUAAUGUCUGGGAAACUGCCUGAUGGAGGGGGAUAACUACUGGAAACGGUAGCUAAUACCGCAUAAUGUCGCAAGACCAAAGUGGGGGACCUUCGGGCCUCAUGCCAUCAGAUGUGCCCAGAUGGGAUUAGCUAGUAGGUGGGGUAACGGCUCACCUAGGCGACGAUCCCUAGCUGGUCUGAGAGGAUGACCAGCCACACUGGAACUGAGACACGGUCCAGACUCCUACGGGAGGAAGCAGUGGGGAAUAUUGCACGAUGGGCGCAAGCCUGAUGCAGCCAUGCCGCGUGUGUGAAGAAGGCCUUCGGGUUGUAAAGCACUUUCAGCGGGGAGGAAGGCG